rnacentral:rRNA from 1 species
UUGUUGGGGUUGUAGGACACUCUAUACGGAGUUACAAAAGAACAUGUUAGACGAAUCAUCUGGAAAGAUGAAUCAAAGAAGGUAAUAAUCCUGUAGUCGAAAACAUAUUCUCUCUUGAGUGGAUCCUGAGUACGACGGAGCACGUGAAAUUCCGUCGGAAUCUGGGAGGACCAUCUCCUAAGGCUAAAUACUCUCUAGUGACCGAUAGUGAACCAGUACCGUGAGGGA